AUUGAACGCUGGCGGCAUGCCUUACACAUGCAAGUCGAACGGCAGCACGGGUGCUUGCCCCUGGUGGCGAGUGGCGAACGGGUGAGUAAUACAUCGGAACAUGUCCUGUCGUGGGGGAUAGCCCGGCGAAAGCCGGAUUAAUACCGCAUACGGUCUACGGAUGAAAGCGGGGGACCUUCGGUCCUCGCGCUAUGGGGUUGGCCGAUCGCUGCUUAGCGAGUUGGUGGGGUAAAGGCCUACCAAGGCGGCGAUCAGUAGCUCGACUGAGAGGACGACCAGCCACACUGGGACUGAGAGACGGCCCAGACUCCUACGGGAGGCAGCAGUGGGGAAUUUUGGACAAUGGGCGGAAGCCUGAUCCAGCAAUGCCGCGUGUGUGAAGAAGGCCUUCGGGUUGUAAAGCACUUUUGUCCGGAAAGAAAUCCUUGGCCCUAAUACGGUCGGGGGAUGACGGUACCGGAAGAAUAAGCACCGGCUAACUACGUG
rnacentral:rRNA from 1 species